GGCGCAAUGCCCGAGCGGUCUAAGGGGAGUGAUUAGAACUCGUUUCUUGACAUCACUUAUGCAUUGCAUGCGUUGGUUCAAAUCCAGCUUGCGUCG